rnacentral:rRNA from 1 species
ACGCUCGACACCUACGGGGGCAGCAGUGGGGAAUAUUGCACAAUGGAGGAAACUCUGAUGCAGCGAUGCCGCGUGAGGGAAGAAGGUUUUCGGAUUGUAAACCUCUGUCUUUGGGGACGAUAAUGACGGUACCCAAGGAGGAAGCUCCGGCUAACUACGUGCCGGCAGCCGCGGUAAUCUGAGCGGGCUGGCAAGGC